GAAUUUUGGACAAUGGGCGCAAGCCUGAUCCAGCCAUGCCGCGUGAGUGAAGAAGGCCUUCGGGUUGUAAAGCUCUUUCGGCCGGGAAGAAAUCGGUCUCUCGAAUACAGGGAUUGGAUGACGGUACCGGACUAAGAAGCACCGGCUAACUACGUGCCAGCCGCCGCAGUAAUACGUAGGGUGCGGGCGUUAAUCGGAAUUACUGGGCGUAAAGCGUGCGCAGGCGGUUUGCUAAGACAGGUGUGAAAUCCCCGGGCUUAACCUGGGAACUGCGCUUGUGACUGGCAGGCUAGAGUACGGUAGAGGGGGGUGGAACUCCUGGUGUAGCAGUGAAAUGCGUAGAGAUCAGGAGGAACACCGAUGGCGAAGGCAGCCCCCUGGGCCUGUACUGACGCUCAUGCACGGAAGCGUGGGGAGCAAACAGG
rnacentral:rRNA from 1 species